UCCUACGGGAGGCAGCAGUGGGGAAUUUUGCGCAAUGGGCGAAAGCCUGACGCAGCAACGCCGCGUGAGGGAUGACGGUUUUCGGAUUGUAAACCUCUUUCAAUGGGGACGAAGAGCAAUUGACGGUACCCGUAAAAGAAGCCCCGGCUAACUACGUGCCAGCAGCCGCGGUAAUACGUAGGGGGCAAGCGUUGUCCGGAUUUAUUGGGCGUAAAGCGCGCGUAGGCGGUUUAUUAAGUCCGAUGUGAAAACUCUCGGCUCAACUGGGAGACUGCAUUGGAAACUGGUAAGCUAGAGUCCAGCAGAGGGAAGUGGAAUUCCAAGUGUAGCGGUGAAAUGCGCAGAUAUUUGGAAGAACACCAGUGGCGAAGGCGGCUUCCUGGACUGCGACUGACGCUGAGGUGCGAAAGCUAGGGGAGCGAACAGGCUUAGAUACCCCGGUAGC
rnacentral:rRNA from 1 species